rnacentral:rRNA from 1 species
CCUACGGGAGGCAGCAGUAGGGAAUCUUCCACAAUGGGCGAAAGCCUGAUGGAGCAACGCCGCGUGGGUGAAGAAGGUCUUCGGAUCGUAAAACCCUGUUGUUAGAGAAGAAAGUGCGUGAGAGUAACUGUUCACGUUUCGACGGUAUCUAACCAGAAAGCCACGGCUAACUACGUGCCAGCAGCCGCGGUAAUACGUAGGUGGCAAGCGUUAUCCGGAUUUAUUGGGCGUAAAGGGAACGCAGGCGGUCUUUUAAGUCUGAUGUGAAAGCCUUCGGCUUAACCGGAGUAGUGCAUUGGAAACUGGGAGACUUGAGUGCAGAAGAGGAGAGUGGAACUCCAUGUGUAGCGGUGAAAUGCGUAGAUAUAUGGAAGAACACCAGUGGCGAAAGCGGCUCUCUGGACUGUAACUGACGUUGAGGCUCGAAAGCGUGGGGAGCAAACAGGAUUAGAUACCCUGGUAGUC